rnacentral:rRNA from 1 species
CAGCAGCCGCGGUAAUACGUAGGGAGCAAGCGUUGUCCGGAUUUAUUGGGCGUAAAGGGCUCGUAGGUGGUUCGGUAAGUCGGAUGUGAAAAAUCUGGGCUCAACCCAGUCAAGCAUCCGAUACUGCUGUGACUAGAGUUCGGUAGAGGAGUGUGGAAUUCCUGGUGUAGCGGUGGAAUGCGCAGAUAUCAGGAGGAACACCAACAGCGAAGACAGCACUCUGGGCCGAUACUGACGCUGAGGAGCGAAAGCAUGGGGAGCAAACAGGAUUAGAUACCCUGGUAGUCCAUGCCGUAAACGUUGGGCACUAGGUGUGGGAGGGAUUCAACCCUUUCCGCGCCGUAGCUAACGCAUUAAGUGCCCCGCCUGGGGAGUACGGCCGCAAGGCUAAAACUCAAAGGAAUUGACGGGGGCCCGCACAAGCGGCGGAGCAUGUUGCUUAAUUCGAGGCAACGCGAAGAACCUUACCUGGGUUUGACAUGUACCGAAAAGCCAUAGAGAUAUGGUGUCCUUAGGGGCGGUACACAGGUGGUGCAUGGUUGUCGUCAGCUCGUGUCGUGAGAUGUUGGGUUAAGUCCCGCAACGAGCGCAACCCUUAUCCUAUGUUGCCAGCGCGUAAUGGCGGGGACUCGUGGGAGACUGCCGGGGUUAACUCGGAGGAAGGUGGGGACGACGUCAAAUCAUCAUGCCCCUUAUGUCCAGGGCUGCAAACAUGGUACAAUGGCCGGUACAACGGGCAGCGAAACCGCGAGGUUAAGCGAAUCCCUUAAAGCCGGUCUCAGUUCGGAUUGAAGUCUGCAACUCGACUUCAUGAAGCUGGAGUCGCUAGUAAUCCCGGAUCAGCAACGCCGGGGUGAAUACGUUCCCGGGCCUUGUACACACCGCCCGUCACACCACGAAAGUUGGCAACACCCGAAGUCAGUGGCCUAACCCUUUUGGGAGGGAGCUGCCGAAGGUGGGGUUAGCGAUUGGGGUGAAGUCGUAACAAGGUAGCCGUA